UUCUUUUGUUUUUGAGAAACUUUGAAGGUUUCUCAUCAUAUUCGACUCCAAACACUAACCAACCUUCUUCUAGAUUCUCAAAGCUGGAAAUGGCCUAAGGUUUUGUGUGUGGAUAAGGGUCACUUAUUAAAGUAAGUAAUGGAUUAUUAAAGAAGAAAAAGGACAACAUUUUCGGAAACAAAGUUGAGAGUUUUGAGAGUUGAAAAAGGGCAAAUCUUUCUUCUCCUUCGUCACUCUA
rnacentral:sRNA from 1 species